UACGUAGGAGGCAAGCGUUGUCCGGAAUCACUGGGCGUAAAGCGCGUGUAGGCGGUGCGGGAAGUCUGCUGUGAAGGCGCCUGGCUUAACCGGGCGAGGUCGGCGGAAACUCUCGCACUGGAGGCCGGUAGAGGGGGGUGGAAUUCCACGUGUAGCAGUGAAAUGCGUAGAGAUGUGGAGGAACACCGAUGGCGAAGGCAGCCCCCUGGGCCAAUACUGACGCUCAUGCACGAAAGCGUGGGGAGCAAACAGG
rnacentral:rRNA from 1 species